GCUACAUAAUAGUCAAAACUUAUGUAUGAAAGGGAAACAUGAAAAUUAUAAUAUUAUAAAAUUCGGGUUCUUUACCGUUGAAUAAAACAGUGUUUUAAAAUGUUGAAUUAUCAAAAGUCGUGGUGAGUUUAAAAUGCACUUCAAUGAUUAAAUUGCACAUUAAAUUGUAAAAAUAUUUGUAUAGUCGCAAGCUUCCAGCACGUUACCCUACUUGGAUUCUAAGUGGCAGUGAUAGGGGAGAAUUUCAUAUGAAUUUGGAGACGUUGAUGUGCCGUUAGCUGUAAAAUCAAGUAUAAAGUAAACCGGUCGAAUCGCAAGUUCUCCUAUUUGUGACCAGUUAACCGCCCUUCAGUUUUCUCACGGUCUAAAACUGAAGUCUUCAAAGUGUACUCAAAGGCGACAAAGAGCUGCUAAAUGUAAAGCUAAAAAACAAAUAUGUGUCGUCCUAUACGAAGUUAACCCUAUAGACGGUUUUUUGUAUUUAUAUUUUGGAUGGAAGUGGUUAAUUGAAUAUGUUGAAGAAGUGGUGGUCGAAAAUAAUAUACAUAUCCCAAUCGCAAAAUAGUGCAAUGUGAUAUCAAUAGUGUUCAAUAAUUAUAAUAAAGAUGAUUGUGAUUUGAAGCCUAUUCAAUAAUCCACUAAAUCCUUCUUAUUUUCUAUUAAACUCGCACCACAAUUGCGAAGAAGGUAUUUUAGUUGUAAUCUUCAAUAAUAUUGAAAAUUGGCGCUUUUUGCCUCCAUUGGCAAUGUUUGUUAACCCUAGUCUUACCCUAGUUGUACCAGAAGCGCCAACUGCGCCGAUCUUUUCGUAAUAUUCCCUAUUCUCUCGAAAUCAUUCGUGCCGACUGCAAUAGGAUUUGGUGUAUUUUACGGAAAUAUUUUAAUAAAUGGACUUUUUUACUUUUA